rnacentral:rRNA from 1 species
ACGGGAGGCAGCAGUGGGGGAUAUUGCACACUGGGCGCCAGCCUGAUGCAGCGACGCCGCGUGAGUGAAGAAGUAUUUCGGUACGUAAAGCUCUAUCAGCAGGGAAGAUAAUGACGGUACCUGACUAAGAAGCCUCGGCUAACUACGUGCCAGCAGCCGCGGUAAUACGUAGGGGGCAAGCGUUAUCCGGAUUUACUGGGUGUAAAGGGAGUGUGGGUGGCCUGGCAAGCCAGAUGUGAAAGCCCGCGGCUCAACCGCGGGACUGCAUUUGGAACUGUUAGGCUUGAGUGCAGGAGAGGAAAGUGGAAUUCCUAGUGUAGCGGUGAAAUGCGUAGAUAUUAGGAGGAACACCAGUGGCGAAGGCGGCUUUCUGGACUGUAACUGACACUGAGGCUCGAAAGCGUGGGGAGCAAACAGGAGUAGAUACCCUGGUA